UGGGGAAUAUUAGAAAUGGACGAAAGUCUGAUCUAGCAACACCGCGUGUGCGAAGAAGGCCUUCGGGUUGUAAAGCACUUUUUGGAAGGAUUAGGAAGGAAUGUACUUCCAGAAUAAGUCUCGGCUAACUACGUGCCAGCAGCCGCGGUAACACGUAGGAGGCAAACGUUAUCCGGAUUUACUGGGCGUAAAGCGCGUGUAGGUGGUUCUGUAAGUAGGGCGUGAAAGCUCCUGGCUCAACUGGGAGAGGCCGUUCUAAACUGCAGAGCUAGAGGAUGGUAGAGGGAGGUGGAAUUCCUGGUGUAGCGGUGGAAUACGCAGAUAUCCGGAGGAACACCAGUGGCGAACGCGGCCUCCUGGACCACUCCUGACACUCAGGCGCGAAAGCUAGGGUAGCAAACGCGAUUAGAUACCGGAAUAGUC
rnacentral:rRNA from 1 species